GUGGGAACGCACUACACGUGCCUGGCAAAUCAGGGGUGAGAGGCCUUGAGACCCGGAAGGAGGCAGCGACAGCUGUCCCUCAUCUUUCUCCAGCUCUGUUCCCAUGUGUGCCUGUGGAAGUGAGCUUAAGGGCACUUCCGGAAAUAAGGAAGGUCAGAACGCUGAAGUGUUUGGAAGUCAUUCUUCACUCUCCACAAAACUGUGGCUGGGGACCGCUCUGUGACUGCCUGCAUUCUGAUUUAUUAAAUGUGUCUCGAAAACAUGGUGUGAGCUCCCUAGACGGCUGAAGGGAUGUAUCAACUCUUCCCCCUCUGCAGCCUAAGGCAGGCCAAUGUUAGGUCAGUAAGUGAACAAGCGUGAGGGAUCCGUCAGUACCCAGCAUCUUGUCUGAAUCCUUAAUGUUCCACAGUGAAUCAGGGAAAGAAAAGGUCAUUGUAAGACAGAUCACUGUGGGACCAGGAUGAGAAAACUGGUCAUUUCUUGCCUGAAAAUUACUCAUCUGAACUGUGCAGGC